rnacentral:lncRNA from 1 species
UGAGAUAAUACACGCUCACCCCUUGAAGGUAAACUUGUGGCUUGAUGAUCCAGGGGUUGGAAAAGAGGCUGUUCACUGCCUUGGUCAAGAGGAGUUGGGUAGAAGUGUUCGUCUUCACACCAGGAAGAAGGUAAUAAGAGUCAACUUUGAACUGAUGUCAUUUUUAGCCCUAAAAAUCUUUAUAAGUAUAUAUUAAACAAUUACAUAAAGUUGGUGGAUUUCAAAAAGGAUACUGUACAUGCUUUUUAAAAAUAAGUUUCUAGUUCUUCUGGUUUUUUAAUUUUAAUUUCUAUUUUCCUUAAAAUUUAUCACUGCCAUCUUGCCUCCCAAGAACACAAGUACAUUUUACACACAUGCACACACACAUACAUCAUUCCUACACCAAUCUUUAGAGAAACCACUAAAAAAAGAGAUGGUCAUUUUUUAAAGCCUGAUUGUAGUCACUGACAAAGACAGAAAACUCGAUUAUACAAAUACUGAUUACAGUCUGACACUGAAGUCUUAAAUGUCCAAUCAAGACUUUUCCUUAUUAUGUUGUCCAAUAGUUUAAAAUACUCCACAAUUAUGCACAAAUUUAUGAUUUGCAUAGAGAUUUUUAAAAUAAAUAGCAUGACAGUUCACCAAUGUUAUUCACAUGUAAGAACUCGUGUUACAUUUAGGUCACACUUAGUAGGAAUAUACAGUAAGCUUUCCACAAAAGAGGUUAACUCUUGCCAUUAUUAACUUACCAAAAUAAGAUGAGUAACUCGAAAGUAGAGUCAAAAAGGCAAUCGCAUCCUGUUUCAAGGCUUUCAUACUAUUAAUAACCAGUUAAUAUUCCAAAUUAAAUGAACACUGGUUUCUGGGUUGAAACCACACAUCUUUUAAAAAGUAAGGCUAUCUGGAAUUACCUUACUACCCAGGGUUAUAGCAUUUAGACUGUUGUCCUAAGGGAGGCAAUCAACUUUCAGAUUUACCUAAGCCACCAAAAUGUACUGUCUGGUUCUGUGCUACGAGAUACUAGAUCUUGGGGUGAGGAAUUCAACAUAUGAAACAUAAACUUUGUCAAAACAUUAGGAACUGAUAUUUAUAAACUGUUUCUUCUGAAAUUAUUAUAAGCCCUUAAUAUAAGCCAGAAUUGCAUGGUACCAUUUCCAGGGCCAGGAUGGGGCUGCAGGGGGUGAUCAGGAGAACUUACCUAACCGUGGUCCAUUCAAUCUUCUGGCUCCUGAUUCCAAACCCUAAGCCUGACCAUGUGCCCUCAACUCAACCCUUCCAGGAGAUCGCUGCACUGUGGGUGGUUCUGCCCACGGCACUUCUUGGUUGCCAACCCUAACCCUAGCCAUGGCUCUGGUUGUAAGGGGGCCCACCUCUUGCAUUCAAGAACAUGGAUCUUUCAUUUCUGAAAAUAUGCAAUGAUAGGACAUAUUACAUGAUAAAAAUCAUUCCCUAAUUGGAAAGUUAUAAAAAGAUUAUUACCUAUAACAGUAUCAUUUUUUGGCUGAGGGGAAAGAGAAUUGGUAUGGGUACAGAGACUUAAAGAGGAGAAGAGUAUGCAUGAAUAAAAAUUACCAGAAAAAUACGGUGGAGGAAAAGCAAACCAGAGUUAGGAUUAGCAUUUCAUUACUGUGAAAGGUACCAUGUGCCGUAUAGAAUGUGCUAAUGAUCAGGCCGAGCCUAUGAUUUUAUAUGUGAUCUAGCUAUCACAAAUCCAGAAAUGACUCAGAGGGAAAAGCAAGCCACCCACAGCAGAUUCACACCAAUCCUGCAACAAGGCUGUUAAAUUAAGCCAGUUGCAAAGUGGGCUUGCCCUGCUAUUCUGGCUGCCCCCAGGUAGCUCUGGAAGCACUUGUUAAAUGUUUGUCGUUCAUACAAGCUGUUCACUCCACCAAUCAAGUCUGCAGGAGGUUAUUUCUUACAUCACACAACUUGCAACAAAUUUUUUAGCGAAUACUUGUCUUACACAGAAACCUACUUUCAAUGAAAAGCUAAUUUCCAGUUCUAUGAAAUCAUCUCAAAUAUACCUCUUCUUGACAUUUCUCCUGAAGAAAAAAGAAACCUGUUGGGAGUUCCAAUAUCUCUGAGGCAUAUUUUCCAGUUUAUUAAAAUGUAUGUGCCAGAUAAAAACAGUCUACAUUAAUUUGCUAUGUAACAGAUAUAGACAAUUUACUCUAAUAUCAUUUCCUUGUGUCUCUGGACAGUUCUCCCACUUAGCCAGCUCCUCCAUAGCUGCCUCUCACCCUGACGAGGGCUCUCAGCCCACAGACUCAGAGACUGCCUACAGUGCUGGACCGGGCAACUGCAUAACUGCAUGGAGCCCUUACAAGUAUGGUGUUCAGGACCAAGAGCCAUUAUAUGAAACAAUCAUUCAUUUAGCAAAUAUUUAAUGUGCACUUAGCGUGUGCAAGUCAUUUUAAUAAUAGUUUUCAGGAAUCUAGAAAUCAGAGACCAAAAAGGAUUCUUGCUCUCAAACACCAUAAACCAUGCCAUUGGGAACUUGUCACAAUUGCUUUUUUGGUAAGGAAGGCAAAGAAAGAGAUAAUCAAAAACAUAUGUUUACUGUAAGCUGUGGUUUUAUAUUCAAGAUUGGACUUGAAAUUACAUUUUCAGUGUCCGCACUAUUUUUUGCGGGUGUAAAAUCCCAUUUUGCUACUAAUGAAAUCCUCUUCCCCCCUAAGGAAUAUAGUUUUAGGAGGCAAGAUUUCAACUCAGUAAAUUUCAACUUUUCUUUAGAGAAACAGGUAUGUAUUACAGUAAAAAGUACAUGAUAAACUGGUUUUUCUGAAAAUAGGAGAUACCCAGAGAUAAAUCCUUGUUACAAUAAUAGUUUCAGUGUCUUUGAAGCAUAUUAAAGUUGAUGUAGUUCCUGAAAAUAAAUUUAAAUGAAUUUCUCUGCAAUCUCAACAGUGGCUUCUUAUAAUAACCUCCUUUGUAUAAAUUCCUGGCAUCAGGACAACAAAGUUUUAUGGUACUGACAUAUUGAUGAAACCUCUGAUAGUUUAUGUUCACCAUUUUAAAAAAGGAAGCAUGUGGGAACUCUAAGAUGAACACAUUGAGAACUCAAUAAUCAGAACUGAACGUGUCACUACUUGCAAACUUAGACUGCGGAAGGAAAAUUAAAUGGAUUUUUAAAAGAGUAAACUGAGAUCAUAAAAACUCCACUUACUUCAAAAAGACUAUCCAGGUAUGUUUGGUAAAUUCCAAGUUAAAAAAUAUUAUAAGACAUAAAAGAAGCAUUGGAAAAAAAAGUUAAACAAAUAACAGAUAAUACAGAACAUACUUUAGAAUAACAGCUUCUCCUACCAUUGGAUAUGUCACAUUUCAUUAGCAUGGAUUUCCUCUGACAGUUCAGGAAUAAUUGCAUAUACUUUUAAACAUAAGUUUUUCUGUACUGUUGUGGAAAUUAUGCCCAUAAGUCACGAGUUUACAUGAGGCAUAUCAAGGAGUAUCAGAUAUUGAUGAACAGGAGUGUUUCAAAAAUAUCAUUUCCAUAUCUGAUGAGGUCAAGUAAGUUAUCUAUGAGACAGGCCCCAUGUAACUGUUUCAUUCAACACUAAAAAGGAUAGAACAUAUUACUUACAUUUAAGAAAUAAGUAAAAAUUGACUCUUAUCCUUGUAUCUCUCUGGUGAAAUCUAACCCCAGCUUUUCUUACAUGGCCAACAGUCCUAAAUAGACAUAUACUGGAUCUUUCACCAACUAAUUCUGUGAACUUAGACAAGAUACUUAACAUCCCUGAUAUCUCUUUAAGUGAAAAAUAACAAUAAGCUAUUAUUUAUCAUUUAAUUAUCAUAAAUAACACUUUACCUCCUGACACUGUAAUAAUGAAAAUAGAUAAUCUAUGUAAACUACCUGAGCACAGUGCUAAGUAAACACCUGCUUUUAUAAACAACUUAAAACAAAAAUAAAUUAGUCAAAAUCUUUAUUUCUCAGAGGAACUUUUGCAAUCUGGUAACAGUUGAAUGGAAUUUAAUCUCAAAAACGAAAGGGCUCAGAGUUUGAACGGACCUCAAACUCCUACCUAACUUUGAGUACUGAAGGUGUUUCAUCUAACAGGGGUCCAAGGAGGCCAAAAAUCAGCCAGAGCUUCCCAACUAGUUAGUGGAGAAACAAAGAUGAGCAGAAUGGAAGGCUUCUACAUUACUGAUGCUGUGCUUCUCUUCUUUAAAUGUGUAUUUUAAUUAGUAUCAAUGAAUACGAGGAUGAAAUUCUUUUAAUUGCCCUCUGAUGCAAUACAUUUUAAGAUUUCACAUUACAUUUUUAUCUUUCAGAACAUGGCAGCUCACACAUUUAGAAACAGCAGUCGUGGAAAAGUGGUUUGGCAUGAGAACCUCUAAUUUUUAUAUUAGGCAGAAAUAGAGGGGGUUUGUGAUUGUAAUUUAUGUCUGUUUUCCUACCUUGACUGCAGGUUUUUCCAGCAUAUCCAGGAUGGCACUUGCACUUGUUGGGUCCAAUACAUUCACCAUGUUUGCACUGUGGUUGGCAUACAGCUGUGAAGAGAGGAUUUAAUGCAUUACUUCUAGGUCAGUUGACCAUCAACCGUAUAGCAUCUAUGUCAUAUAGUAGUCUGAUAAUAAAAGAGAAGACUAAGAACUUACAACAGAGUAGCAGAAAUAUAUAAAUUCACUAUGUCUGAGUGUGGUAAACACUGUUAGACUAAAUACUCUCACAUACAUGUAGGGUGUGUGUGUGUGUGUGUGUGUGUGUGUGUGUGUGUGUGUGUAUCGCUUGGGUCUGGAAAACUGCCUAAACUUAAGUACAAUGUUAAAGCAGUAAAAAAAAAAAAAAAAAAAAAGGUAAAACUA